GACAGAGGAUGCAAGCGUUAUCCGGAAUGAUUGGGCGUAAAGCGUCUGUAGGUGGCUUUUAAGUCCGCCGUCAAAUCCCAGGCUCAACCCUGGACAGGCGGUGGAACUACCAAGCUGGAGUACGAUGUAGGGGCAGAGGGAAUUUCCGGUGGAGCGGUGAAAUGCGUAGAGAUCGGAAAGAACACCAACGGCGAAAGCACUCUGCUGGGCCGACACUGACACUGAGAGACGAAAGCUAGGGGAGCGAAUGGG
rnacentral:rRNA from 1 species